GAAACAAUUGAUCUUGAUGGAACAAUCUUGUUUUUAUAUAAAAUUUCAAGCUGGUGAUGACAUGUAUAAAAGAAAAAGUGCUGCAAGCAGUAAAUGCUGUUCAGUUUGCAUUCCAUUACAUCAACAUAUCUAAAUGAUCCUCUUUAGCCCAGUACUUCAAUAGGAUGUUGGAAAAGAAGACUUCCACUCUAAUAGGAUGAAAAAAUGAUCAUCUAUUUACAUCAUUCUGAUUUAAUUGCUUCACAAUCCACUAUAAAGAUUUGCUCUGACCCUAAUAUUUAAAAUUUUCUACUUUUUUUCCCACUUUUCUCUCACAUAAAUUAGGUGUUUCAUUCUUUUUCCUACUUAUUAUUUUAUUUACACCAUUCUGUGUUGAGCACAGAAAGGUGGAAGUAUAUAGCCCUGUUCUCUGUUUUUAAUGCUCUGUAUAUUUUUAUUUCCUUUUCUGUGGAAUCA
rnacentral:lncRNA from 1 species